rnacentral:rRNA from 1 species
AAGUGUUUAAGGGCGCAUGGUGGAUGCCUUGGCAUCAGAGGCCGAUGAAGGACGUAGGAGGCUGCGAUAAGCCUCGGGGAGCUGCCAACCGAGCGUUGAUCCGAGGAUGUCCGAAUGGGGAAACCCAGCACGAGUGAUGUCGUGUUACCCACGCCUGAAUAUAUAGGGUGUGGGAGGUAACGCGGGGAAGUGAAACAUCUCAGUACCCGUAGGAAGAGAAAACAAUUGUGAUUCCGUGAGUAGUGGCGAGCGAAAGCGGAUGAGGCUAAACCGUAUGCAUGUGAUACCGGGUAGGGGUUGUGUGUGGGGUUGUGGGACCUAUCUUUCCAGUUCUAUCCGGCUGGAGGGCAGUAAGAAAAUGUCGUGGUUAACGGAAGUGGCUUGGGAUGGCCUGCCGUAGAGGGUGAGAGUCCCGUACGUGAAAACCCGAUGUCUGCCUUGAUGGUGUUCCCGAGUAGCAGCGGGCCCGUGAAAUCUGCUGUGAAUCUGCCGAGACCACUCGGUAAGCCUAAAUACCUUCUGAUGACCGAUAGCGGAUUAGUACCGUGAGGGAAUGGUGAAAAGUACCCCGGGAGGGGAGUGAAAUAGUACCUGAAACCGUGUGCCUACAAUCCGUCAGAGCCCUCGUUUACGUGGGGUGAUGGCGUGCCUUUUGAAGAAUGAGCCUGCGAGUCAGGGACAUGUCGCGAGGUUAACCCGUGGGGGGUAGCCGUAGCGAAAGCGAGUCUGAAUAGGGCGUAUCCCAUUAUGGGUGUAGUGGCAUGUUCUGGACCCGAAGCGGAGUGAUCUACCCAUGGCCAGGGUGAAGCGCGGGUAAGACCGCGUGGAGGCCCGAACCCACUUAGGUUGAAGACUGAGGGAUGAGCUGUGGGUAGGGUGAAAGGCCAAUCAAACUCCGUGAUAGCUGGUUCUCCCGAAAUGCAUUUAGGUGCAGCGUUGCGUGUUUCUUGCCGGAGGUAGAGCUACUGGAUGGCCGAUGGGCCUCACCAGGUUACUGACGUCAGCCAAACUCCGAAUGCCGGUAAGACAAAAGCGUGGCAGUGAGACGGCGGGGGAUAAGCUCCGUGCGUCGAGAGGAAACAGCCCAGAUCGCCGACUAAGGCCCCUAAGCGUGCUAAGUGGAAAAGGAUGUGCAGUCGCGAAGACAACCAGGAGGUUGGCUUAGAAGCAGCCACCCUUGAAAGAGUGCGUAAUAGCUCACUGGUCAAGUGAUUGUGCGCCGAUAAUGUAGCGGGGCUCAAGCACACCGCCGAAGUCGCGGCAUCCGCAAGGAUGGGUAGGGGAGCGUCCUGCAUCCGGUGAAGCAGCCGAGUGAUCGAGUUGUGGAGGGUGUGGGAGUGAGAAUGCAGGCAUGAGUAGCGAAUAGGCAAGUGAGAACCUUGCCCGCCGAAAGACCAAGGGUUCCUGGGGCAGGCCAGUCCGCCCAGGGUGAGUCGGGACCUAAGGCGAGGCCGACAGGCGUAGUCGAUGGACAACGGGUUGAUAUUCCCGUACCCGUGUGUGUGCGUCCGUGAUGAAUCCAUUGUGCUAACCAUCCAAAUGGCACGUGAUGAUCCUUUCGGGGAUCACGUGUUGCCGGCUGCGUGGGACCCUGGUGGGUAGUAGUCAAGCGAUGGGGUGACGCAGGAAGGUAGCCGUACCGGUCAGUGGUAAUACCGGGGUAAGCCUGUAGGGAGUCAGAUAGGCAAAUCCGUCUGACAUAUAUCCUGAGAGGUGAUGCAUAGCCGAGUGAGGCGAAUUCGGUGAUCCUAUGCUGCCAAGAAAAGCCUCUAGCGAGUGCACACAUGGCCCGUACCCCAAACCAACACAGGUGGUCAGGUAGAGAAUACUAAGGCGUACGAGUUAACUAUGGUUAAGGAACUCGGCAAAAUGCCCCCGUAACUUCGGGAGAAGGGGGACCCACAUGGUGUGUAAGCCCUCGCGGCCCAAGCAUGAGUGGGUGGCACAAACCAGUGAGAAGCGACUGUUUACUAAAAGACACAGGUCCGUGCGAAGUCGCAAGACGAUGUAUACGGACUGACGCCUGCCCGGUGCUGGAAGGUUAAGAGGACCUGUUAACUCCUUCGGGGGUGAAGCGGAGAAUUUAAGCCCCAGUAAACGGCGGUGGUAACUAUAACCAUCCUAAGGUAGCGAAAUUCCUUGUCGGGUAAGUUCCGACCUGCACGAAUGGCGUAACGACUUCUCAACUGUCUCAACCAUAGACUCGGCGAAAUUGCACUACGAGUAAAGAUGCUCGUUACGCGCGGCAGGACGAAAAGACCCCGGGACCUUCACUACAACUUGGUAUUGGAGUUCGGUACGGUUUGUGUAGGAUAGGUGGGAGACUGUGAAGCGCACACGCCAGUGUGUGUGGAGUCGUUGUUGAAAUACCACUCUGAUCGUAUUGGGCUUCUAACCUCGGACCAUAUAUCUGGUCCAGGGACAGUGCCUGGUGGGUAGUUUAACUGGGGCGGUUGCCUCCUAAAAUGUAACGGAGGCGCCCAAAGGUUCCCUCAACCUGGACGGCAAUCAGGUGUUGAGUGUAAGUGCACAAGGGAGCUUGACUGCGAGACCUACAAGUCGAGCAGGGACGAAAGUCGGGACUAGUGAUCCGGCACCCCCGAGUGGAAGGGUGUCGCUCAACGGAUAAAAGGUACCCCGGGGAUAACAGGCUGAUCUUCCCCAAGAGUCCAUAUCGACGGGAUGGUUUGGCACCUCGAUGUCGGCUCGUCGCAUCCUGGGGCUGGAGCAGGUCCCAAGGGUUGGGCUGUUCGCCCAUUAAAGCGGCACGCGAGCUGGGUUUAGAACGUCGUGAGACAGUUCGGUCUCUAUCCGCCGCGCGCGUCAGAAACUUGAGGAAACCUGUCCCUAGUACGAGAGGACCGGGACGGACGAACCUCUGGUCUACCAGUUGUCCCACCAGGGCACGGCUGGAUAGCUACGUUCGGACAGGAUAACCGCUGAAAGCAUCUAAGCGGGAAACCUCUUCCAAGACCAGGUUUCUCACCCUUUUAGAGGGAUAAGGCCCCCCGCAGACCACGGGAUCGAUAGACCAGACCUGCACACCCAGCAAUGGGUUUAGGGAACUGGCACUAACCGGCCGAAAACUUA